UACGAAGGGGGCUAGCGUUGCUCGGAAUUACUGGGCGUAAAGGGCGCGUAGGCGGAUAGUUUAGUCAGAGGUGAAAGCCCAGGGCUCAACCUUGGAACUGCCUUUGAUACUGGCUAUCUUGAGUUCGGGAGAGGUGAGUGGAAUGCCGAGUGUAGAGGUGAAAUUCGUAGAUAUUCGGCGGAACACCAGUGGCGAAGGCGACUCACUGGCCCGAUACCGACGCUGAGGCGCGAAAGCGUGGGGAGCAAACAGG
rnacentral:rRNA from 1 species